rnacentral:rRNA from 1 species
AGCCCUACGGGGGGCAGCAGUGAGGAAUAUUGGUCAAUGGACGCAGGUCUGAACCAGCCAUGCCGCGUGCAGGAUGACGGCUCUAUGAGUUGUAAACUGCUUUUGUACGAGGGUAAACCCCGAUACGUGUAUCGGGUUGAAAGUAUCGUACGAAUAAGGAUCGGCUAACUCCGUGCCAGCAGCCGCAGUAAUACGGAGGAUGCGAGCGUUAUCCGGAUUUAUUGGGUUUAAAGGGUGCGUAGGCGGUCCGGAAAGUCAGCGGUAAAAGCCCGGGGCUCAACCCCGGCGAGCCGUUGAAACUGUCG